AUGUGCACCAGGUUGAUUCUGCCUGACAGAGACGCUCGUCUUGAGGACUAAGCCAUGCAUGUUGGGCGCGCGGAAGCAAGCAGCGAACGGCUCAGUAGCGCAGUCUGGACCGACUUGGCGGAAAGCAGCGGACAUCCGAGGAAACCUUCGGCCAAGACGGGGUAGGGAGGCAGGCCACUGGGGGGAAGCAGGAUGCCGGCGCGGCGCAGGGCGCGGCCAAACGGGGGACUGGCCCAUCAGCCAGGUGGUAGGGUACGGGCCUACCAGGGCGGCGACGGGAGACGGGGAAUGGGGGUUUGGUUCCGGAGAAGGAGGCUGAGAGACGGCUCCUAGGUCCAAGGACCGCAGCAGGCGCGCAACUUGCUCACUUCCCGGGGGGAGAAGCAGCGAAGAGACGUACGCGGAGCGCGCGCGGCAAAGCAGCGCAGCGCGCACUGGAGGGCAAGUCUGGUGCCAGCAGCCGCGGUAAUUCCAGCUCCAGAAGCGUCUGUGGCAGUUGCUGCAGUUAAAAGGUCCGCAGUCGGGCAGGGCGCCCGUGGGGAAAGCGCGCGGCUCAACGGAGAGCAGAGCACGGGACAGGAGCCAAGAGGGGCGGGCGGGGGCAGGAGGAUUUGGCAGCCAGGGGUGAAAUCCGGAGACUUGCUGAGGACGGACAGAGGCGAAGGCGCCUGCCAGGGACGCUUUCAUUGAUCAGGGACGAAGGCCGGAGGAUCGAAGACGAUUAGAGACCGUUGUAGUUCCGGCGGUAAACGGUGCCAACAGGGGCGUCUGCCGGCGCGGGCGGGGCGGGCGCCCUGCGAGAAAUCCAGUGCGCGGGCUCUGGGGAAAGUACAGUCGCAAGACGGAAACUUAAACGAAAUUGACGGAAGGACACCACCAGGAGUGGAGCAUGCGGCUUAAUUUGACUCAACACGGGGCAGCUUACCGGCGGGGGAUGCCGGGGGGAUCUGGCGGAGAUUCGGCAGAGAGUGGUGCAUGGCCGCUCCUGGCCCGUGGGGUGACCUGUCUGGUUGAUUCCGCUAACGGGCGCGAUCCGCGUGCCUUGGGAAGGCAGACGGCCGGCGGGCAGCCGGAGGAGGGCGGGCGAUAGCAGGUCCGUGAUGCCCUUGGAAGCGGCGGGCUGCACGCGUGCUACAGUGCGCGCAGGAGCUGCGCGCCGAGAGGCGCGGGGGGAGCGGCGCGCGAGGGGGAUGCCCGCGCGGGACCGCGGGCUGAACGCGGAAUUCCCAGUACCCGCGGGUCACCAGCCCGCGGAGACGGCGUCCCUGUCCUUUGUACACACCGCCCGUCGCUAUCUGAGAUGGCUGUGCCCGGCGAGCGCGCGCGCGCGGGAGCCUGUCGCGCUAGAUUGGAUAAAAGUCGUAACAAGGUCUCCGUAGGAGAACCUGCGGAGGGAUCAGU
rnacentral:rRNA from 1 species